CAGUAGCCACGGUAAUACGUAGGGGGCAAGCGUUAUCCGGAAUUACUGGGUGUAAAGGGAGCGUAGACGGUUAAACAAGUCUGAAGUGAAAUGCCGGGGCUCAACCCCGGAGCUGCUUUGGGAACUGUAGAACUGGAGUGUCGGAGGGGUAAGCGGAAUUCCCAGUGUAGCGGUGAAAUGCGUAGAUAUUGGGAGGAACACCGGCGGCGAAGGCGGCUUACUGGACGACAACUGACGUUGAGGCUCGAAGGCGUGGGUAGCAAACAGGAUUAGAGACCCCUGUAGUCCCUGUCUCUUAUAC
rnacentral:rRNA from 1 species